rnacentral:rRNA from 1 species
AACGAACGCUGGCGGCAUGCCUAACACAUGCAAGUCGAACGAAGGCUUCGGCCUUAGUGGCGCACGGGUGCGUAACGCGUGGGAACCCUGCCCCUCGGUUCGGAAUAACAGUUAGAAAUGACUGCUAAUACCGGAUGAUGACUUCGGUCCAAAGAUUUAUCGCCGAGGGAUGGCCCGCGUAGGAUUAGCUAGUUGGUGGGGUAAAGGCCUACCAAGGCGACGAUCCUUAGCUGGUCUGAGAGGAUGAUCAGCCACACUGGGACUGAGACACGGCCCAGACUCCUACGGGAGGCAGCAGUGGGGAAUAUUGGACAAUGGGCGAAAGCCUGAUCCAGCAAUGCCGCGUGAGUGAUGAAGGCCUUAGGGUUGUAAAGCUCUUUUACCAGGGAUGAUAAUGACAGUACCUGGAGGAAUAAGCUCCGGCUAACU